UGCUUGGUGUGGGUGGGUGGCUGGAGGCGUGUGCGUGCUGUUUGUGCUUUGCCGGUGGGUGUGCUGGGCGUUGUGAAGUGUGUGUGUGUUCGGGUGAGCGAGAGCGGUGCGUGGAUGUCCCCGAGCCUGCGACGCUUCUUCUUACACAUUGAUCUUAUUUGAUCGGGCCGGGAGGUCGCCGCCUCCCCCGGCCUGAAAUGAGAAGACGCCUUUCCUGUGAAGCCUUCGGGCGCUGUGCAGCGAAACGGGUUGCAGGCGGCGCUUAGCCGGAGAUGAUGAAUCGAUCAGAUAGAUGAGGCUGAAUGAAGGCGGGGAGACCCCCUUCCGCUUGGCCGGUGUGUACCGUGGCGAUUCUGAUCCGG